GACAGAGGCCUCGAGCGUUAGGCGGAAUCACUGGGCUUAAAGCGUGUGUAGGCGGAUCGUUAAGUACCUUGUGAAAUCCCACGGCUCAACCGUGGGACGGCUGGGUAUACUGGCGGUCUUGGGCCAUUCAGGGGCGACUGGAACAAGCGGUGGAGCGGUGAAAUGCGUAGAUAUCGCUUGGAACGCCGAAGGUGAAAACAGGUCGCUGGGGAUGUGCCGACGCUGAGACACGAAAGCCAGGGGAGCAAACGGG
rnacentral:rRNA from 1 species